CCUACGGGAUGCAGCAGUGGGGAAUAUUGGACAAUGGGCGAAAGCCUGAUCCAGCAAUGCCGCGCGUGUGGAGAAGGUCUUCGGAUUGUAAAGCACUUUCGACGGGGACGAUGAUGACGGUACCCGUAGAAGAAGCCCCGGCUAACUUCGUGCCAGCAGCCGCGGUAAUACGAAGGGGGCUAGCGUUGCUCGGAAUGACUGGGCGUAAAGGGCGCGUAGGCGGUUUAUGCAGUCAGAUGUGAAAUCCCCGGGCUUAACCUGGGGACUGCGCUUGAGACGCAUAGACUAGAGGUCGAGAGAGGGUUGUGGAAUUUCCAGUGUAGAGGUGAAAUUCGUAGAUAUUGGGAAGAACACCGGUGGCGAAGGCGGCAACCUGGCUCGAUACUGACGCUGAGGCGCGAAAGCGUGGGGAGCAAACAGGAUUAGAUAGCCGUGUAGUC
rnacentral:rRNA from 1 species